ACAGCCCAGUAUAGCAAGUGUAGACAUGGCACCAGCAGCUUAAUGGGCCAGCUGAGUGAUGGGAAAACCCCAAGGAGACCUCACCAGGCCUGAUGGGUCAGGGAGAGCUUUGCGGAAAGAGUAAUAGAUCUUUUGCGAGAGGAAAACAAGGGAACAGCCAUAACUGGGGCUGACGGGGAAUGGAGAGGGACAGGAAGCAGAGGGGAAGAGAAGGGGCUAGCAACAGCAGCAGGAUGCUCAUAUGCAGGGCUGUGCAGGCCCUUGGGAGUAGCCUGGGUUCUAUUCUUUGGACGCUGGGGGAAUUUCAGCCGGAGCAGGCCAGGAACAUUCAGGUGUCUUUAAUGGUCACUCUGGCUAUUGUGUGGAGAGAAGCCUGGAAGGGUCAAGCAGGAGAGGGAUGAGGCCUCACAGGGCAGCCACAGGCUCCUGAGGCUGGGUUGGUAGGGGAAGGACGUGAAAAGGGGACAGAUUCAAAAGCUACUUGGGACCUAUGUAGUAACCACCUGAAUGGCAAUCUAUGUAGAUUUUUGCAGUGUGUCUGUGUAGUGUGCUGGGAGCAGGUAUUUGUAUUUAUCUCUGUGUACUUAUGUCUAGGCCAGUAGGAUAGGGUAUCUGUUCACCUGUGUCCUCAAGUUAUGUACUAUGCAGGGGCCUCCGUGUGUGUCCAAAGGUCUGGCCCAUAAUUCUUGGCUCAGUGUUAACUUUCUUCCUGUCUCCAGGUUCACCCACCCAUCCUUGAUGCUAGGUUCUGGUGUACCUGGUCACCCAGCAGCCAUCCCCCACCCGGCAAUUGUGCCCCCCUCAGGGAAGCAGGAGCUGCAGCCCUUCGACCGCAACCUGAAGACACAAGCAGAGUCCAAGGCAGAGAAGGAGGCGAAGAAGCCAACCAUCAAGAAGCCCCUCAAUGCCUUCAUGCUGUACAUGAAGGAGAUGAGAGCCAAGGUCAUUGCAGAGUGCACACUUAAGGAGAGCGCUGCCAUCAACCAGAUCCUGGGCCGCAGGUGGCACGCGCUGUCGCGAGAAGAGCAGGCCAAGUACUAUGAGCUGGCCCGCAAGGAGAGGCAGCUGCACAUGCAGCUAUACCCAGGCUGGUCGGCGCGGGACAACUACGGGAAGAAGAAGAGGCGGUCGAGGGAAAAGCACCAAGAAUCCACCACAGGAGGAAAAAGAAAUGCAUUCGGUACUUACCCGGAGAAGGCCGCUGCCCCAGCCCCGUUCCUUCCGAUGACAGUGCUCUAGGCUGCCCCGGGUCCCCAGCUCCCCAGGACUCACCCUCAUACCAUCUGCUGCCCCGCUUCCCCACAGAACUGCUUACUAGCCCUGCGGAGCCGGCACCUACAUCCCCAGGUCUCUCCACUGCUCUCAGCCUCCCAGCCCCAGGACCCCCACAGGCCCCCCGCAGCACCCUGCAGAGCACACAGGUACAGCAACAGGAAUCUCAGAGACAGGUGGCCUAGCAGGCACAGGACAUCUGGCUGCCUCCAGGAGCCUACCCCUGAGAGAAAGCGACAGAGACCCAGAUCUCAUGGAAACUGGCCAGGGGUCCUGUUAACGUCAUCUCAGGGUCCAGACCCUGAAGAUUUCAGAGGCUGCAGAACUUCUGCCUGAACCUGGGGCCAUCGAUUCAAAUUGCUCCAAGUGGUGGGAAUCAGAUCUGUGUUGAUGUGUCAUCUAAUUAAGGGAAUCCCUUGUACCUAUGGCUGCCUGCAUCUAUUCUUUGUACCAUCUGCCUUGCCAGCCAGAAGCCUCUGCCUUCCUAGCUUUUCUGCUAUAGGUCAGAGAUGGGCUGAACUGAGCCUAGCUACCUUCUCUACCCAUCUCCCCCAUCCCCCACUGCCACACCCUCCCCAUUCAGACACUUCAUGGACCAAGAAUGAGCUGGUUUGUCAAACAUGUGAGCAUGGUCACAACCACAAAGCUCAAGAUGACAACUCUUCUCUUUUAAGGAAAUGGAGAAGCUCUGUUUAU
rnacentral:sRNA from 1 species